CCCUGCAGUAGGAUUUCUUUUGUGGAGCCCCAAACCAAACCUCCUUUCAGGGGCUCGUCCCAGAGAAGGUCAGUCCUGGGAGCGCAGAGAAGAGUCCAGGUACCGUUAUUUUAAAGAUGCAGGAUUGGAGGCUCGGAGAAGGGCUUUGCUCCACAAGAGGCCACACCGCUGUUGGCAGAGCCAGAAAUAGAAACAGCACCUCCAGAUUUAUGUCUAGAGCUCUUUCUACCAUAACGUGCUUCCUAAUCUUCUGAAGAGACUGUGAUUCCCCUUGUGUAUCCUGAUUUUGGCCGAUGGAAUGCAAGAAGCACUCUGUCUGGUGACUUUGGGGAAAGGCUCUGCCACCUGACACCAGGGUGAGGUGACAAGGGGCAGGUUCUGUGGCUCUGGCAUCCUCCAUCCCUCCCAGAUGCUGCCCCGUGAGGAUGUAACAUGAGAAGCCACUGCAGCUGUGACCUUAAAAGGAGACGUUCUGGGCCCCACCAGGACUAAAGAGCAGGAAGGAGGAAGGACCUGGGUUCCAGGCAAGUUUGGGCCUGGAGCAGACAGAUGGCCAGCAACUCCAAAGGCUGCACACGUUAAAAUAUACAUCGGCCAGAAAGAGGCUGAGGUCUUCUGUGACCACAUCCAGUGCCCACGCAGCCCUGGGGCUCAGCCCGCAAGUUGAUUGCAUGAAGGGUCGAAGGCAUCACACGUCCAAGCAACGUGCUUGUCUGCAGGAG